AUCCUCCUGGAUUCAGUGCAAGAUGGUACACACCCUCCCAGGCCAGCCUAAUUCUCAUCUGUAGAGAAGAAGAUGUUACUGAACUUUCAGCUGACAUAUUUUUGGCAGAAGUAAAGCCUCCUUGACUAUGCAGAAGAGUCAAAUUGGGGCAUAAAUUAAGUCCUCUUGGAGAUGCUGCCACCUCAGUCUUCAGCCACCACCACCCUGAUCAGUUCAUAGCCAUUAACACCAAAUCAAGACUCCAUCAGCAAACCGAUUACAACUCACUGAAGGCUCAGAUGAUGGUUAGCGUUUUUGGCAAUAAAGUAUUUUUAAAUUAA